UACGGGGGGGGCAAGCGUUGUUCGGAAUUACUGGGCGUAAAGGGCUCGUAGGUUGCCAACUAAGUCAGACGUGAAAUCCCUCGGCUUAACCGGGGAACUGCGUCUGAUACUGGAUGGCUUGAGUUCGGGAGAGGGAUGCGGAAUUCCUGGUGUAGCGGUGAAAUGCGUAGAUAUCUGGAGGAAUACCGGUGGCGAAGGCGGCAUCCUGGACCGGCAUUGACGCUGAGGAGCGAAAGCCAGGGGAGCAAACGGG
rnacentral:rRNA from 1 species